AGAGUUUGAUCCUGGCUCAGGACGAACGCUGGCGGCGUGCCUAAUACAUGCAAGUAGAACGCUGAAGACUUUAGCUUGCUAAAAUUUAAAAAGUUGCGAACGGGUGAGUAACGCGUAGGUAACCUGCCUACUAGCGGGGGAUAACUAUUGGAAACGAUAGCUAAUACCGCAUAACAGCAUUUAACACAUGUUAGAUGCUUGAAAGGAGCAAUUGCUUCACUAGUAGAUGGACCUGCGUUGUAUUAGCUAGUUGGUGAGGUAACGGCUCACCAAGGCGACGAUACAUAGCCGACCUGAGAGGGUGAUCGGCCACACUGGGACUGAGACACGGCCCAGACUCCUACGGGAGGCAGCAGUAGGGAAUCUUCGGCAAUGGGGGCAACCCUGACCGAGCAACGCCGCGUGAGUGAAGAAGGUUUUCGGAUCGUAAAGCUCUGUUGUAAGAGAAGAACGUGUGUGAGAGUGGAAAGUCACACAGUGACGUAA
rnacentral:rRNA from 1 species